UCAGGGUCUGUGGUUCUCUGAAAAGUGCACUGGGGAAUAGAGAGAAGUACAGACAUACCCCAAGGACCUCGGAAUCCAUGGGGAGAUGUGACCUUCACAAAGGUGCCAAAUGAGCAGAACAGACAAUGGACAAGGAAAGUUCCAUGGAGCAGAGGGAACAUGGGUGACGACUUGGGCGCAGGCACCUAAGAUCAAGAGGGACAGAGAAGAGGUUUGGUGACAGAUACAUAGGAGGUGCUGCCUCUGACAUGUCUGUGCUGGCGAUGGCAACAAUGAAACACUGUGACCGAGCGAGAAUUGAGUAGUGCUGUUCUGGCCCUUCACUGGGAGAAGGGAGAAGCAGGCUCUGCCUCCAGUUAAGGAGCUCCAACAUUAGCUUCAGGAGCUCCAGGAUGUUCAAAAAGGAAAGGAACCCAACAGGAGGCUUAAGCAACACCAGAGGUCCCUAAGACGAACCACAGCCACGUGGCAGAGCUUUUGGGUGUCUUCAUCCCCCGCGCCUGCACUGCACCCCUCCACUGGUGAGGGCAGAGCCCACACGUGAAGGUCAGCAGCAAGAUUCCACGACGAGCAGCGCAGGAGCCCGCGAGUGAGCAGGCAGGGCUAGAGAGCGGGAUCUGAGCUGCAACUGCGGUGGGCUCUGCUUAGGAGAGGAGAGGGCAACUCAUGCUCUUGAUGAGAGAAAAAGAAAGAAGAAAUCAACUCCGGCUGGAGGAACAUCUACCAGGCAUGGGAAAAGAAGAAAGGGAUUAUCAUGGAGUUUCAGAUUUUUCAUCUCUAAUUGCCUAGAAUCUGUGUUCCCUGAAGAUUUAAGAACAGAGUAGAUUCACCCGUACCAAUGACUGAGGUCUAGGGCCUUUAAGCUUUUUUGGGUAAUGGGCCACAUCGCCGGAAAUCCCUACGUGGACUCAGAUUCUGUGCUGUCAUGAUGACUUGACGAUUUCCAUCUUUGCCAGGUCAGUAUGCAAGUCAAACCCCACUCAAGUGCCCAUGGAGGCUUUGCUCCCACUUGUUUUACUAUGGUCAGUAAUGCUUCAUAAAGCUCGAGUUUAACGAUAUAAUUUUGGCAGAGCUAAUAUAAAAAAGUUCAAAAUUAUUAAUUUAUCUUUCAUUGCAAUUAGUAACCAUUCAGCCUGCGUAUAUGUUAUCUGACAGCUGUCAGUAGUUCAGUUACCCUUAUCAGAGGAGGCUCAAAAGUAAAAUUCUUAGCUAAAUACAUUAUGUUGCCCAAAGGGUCAGCCAGACUUCGGCUGAGGAGCCUGAAAACUGAGGGGAGAUUGAAUAAAAUACCUGAGCUUUCCGGCAUUGAGCAUUCUGAAAGCAUUUGGGCAGGUCAGCCCUUAAACGAAGAUUUAGAUAAACAAGAUGGGAGAAAACAAAUUAGAGAAUUUAACCCAAGAGGCUUAAUGCUGGUAAAGCAUAUGAUGACUGAUUUCUAAUCUAGAAUUUGAUCAAAUCAAUUAGCAAACUCAUGCCCUAUAUUUAAGUCAAGAGUAAAACUGUUAACAGGACUGCAGUCACUGAAAAAAGAAAAGCCACUUUUUAUUCCUUCAAACUUUAUAUUGUGAGGGGUCGGCCCCGUGGCCGAGUGGUUAAGUUCACGCGCUCUGCUUUGUCAGCCCAGGGUUUCACCCGUUUGGAUCCUGGGUGCGGACAUGGCACGGCUCAUCAGGCCAUGCUGAGGUGGCAUCCCACAUGCCACAACCAGAAGGACCCACAACUAAAAUAUAAAACUAUGUACUGGGGGGAUUUGGGGAGAAAAAGCAGGAAAAAACCACAAAACUUUAUAUUAUGAAUUCUACUCUAUCGUAGUAUUUAUUUAUUUUUCUUUUUUGCUUUUCUUGUAAAGACUUACCUGUUGCUCACCUUGGCCCAAGAAAUCAGGUUUUAGGUGAUGGGUUGUUAAAGAGUUAAUGUCGCAUUCCAAGAAAGGGUGCGAAAGGAAUGGGAUGUGGUUAAGGACACUGAGUAAUAGGGAGUAGGAGCAGCUCAGAAGAGACCUGUGCAUGAACAUCGUCUUCUGGCCUGCCUAGACCUGAACUAGACUACUGAGAACGUAACGUAAGACUUUAAACCAGCUAAACACACUUCGGAAAACAAUCUCACCUGAGGAAGAUUCUGUUUAAAGUAUUUUAAAGUUAUACCAAAUUACUAAUAUUUUAAUAAAUUUUAACAUUUUAAUAUGGGAAUAUAUUGUAUAUAAAACCCCUGAAAAUUACAAUGAUGACGACUUGAGGAAAUCUGCCUUCUGUCGUCUGUAUGCACCCCACAAAUCGAAGGCAAAAACCCCUUGUGGAUCAUCAAAGAUCUUUAUCCACUCCGACCCGAGCUGAAUGCUGGAGAGCUCUUAUGAUUAUAUGGUAGCUCUUUCAGUUCUAAAGGAAUGGCAGAUUUAGCUAUUCAGAACUAUUGUCAGGUCUUCUUUGUGUAAAUACUUAAACAUUUUCAAAGUUUAAAGCAAUGAGGCCAACCCAAAUCUGAUGAUAUGCAAAGAGUCAAUUAUGUGUAGCAUCUGUCCCGAAGGAAGAAGUUGCUAGAACACCAGCUCAGCGCUGAUGCCACAGUUUGAUUUCAUCCUCCCUCCUCUGCUCCUGCUCCACCUUCAGUGAACCAGAUAAAUUAGAUCAGCACCGCGAUGCCCCUAAGUACUGUAUAGCUUGAAAAAUAACAUUUAUAAAAACUACACUUGGGCAUGAACAAGACCCCCGUCGCCAAGCCUGUAAACCUCCCCUACUCCUUUGAGACAAGUAUCAACUCUGGAAAAGAAAUGAAGACUCAGCUCUACCAAGGGGCUUUUAACUGACCUGGGUAAGCGUUUCUUUAAAAAGAAAGGGUUGCUCUUAGUUAUGAUCAUUUUUUCUCCUAAGGCUGCUGUGGAUUUUCAGUACCAGAGGGUGAACGUGAGUUCAGAAAAUGUUAAGUCCACAUUUAAAAACA